ACUCCGUUGUUCCAGUCUACUCAGCUGUAAAUAAGUAUGUGGUUGGGCAAUGCUAGAAUUGUAGAAUAUGCUAGCUGUGACUGCCAAAAUCGCCGCCUCAGCUGUAUGCUCCCCAGGGAAUUGAGAAAGAUAUUGGCUGGUCACAAAGGCCCUAUUACCACUGAUAAUAUUAGUGAACCACUUUUGAGACGACCUACCAACUAGGUUGUGAAAAGCAGUAUAUAAGAACCUCAAAUUAUUAUUGCUUAUUGCUUACACGUCUGUGAAAUGAUGAGAAUAUGACAAUGAAUUGGUUACACACGUCUGUGAAAUGAUGAGAAUAUGACAAUGAUUUGGUCACACACGUCUGUGAAAUGAUGAGAAUAUGACAAUGAAUUGGUCACACACGUCUGUGAAAUGAUGAGUAUGACAAUGAAUUGGUCUCACACGUCUGUGAAAUGAUGAGAAUAUGACAAUGAAUUGAUCACACACGUCUGUGAAAUGAUGAGAGUAUGACAAUGAAUUGGUCAUACACGUCUGUGAAAUGAGGAGAGUAUGACAAUGAAUUGGUCACACACGUCUGGGAAAUGAUGAGAGUAUGACAAUGAAUUGGUCACACACGUCUGGGAAAUGAUGUGUAUGACAAUGAAUUGGUCUCACACGUCUGUGAAAUGAUGAGAAUAUGACAAUGAAUUGGUCAUACACGUCUGUGAAAUGAUGAGAGUAUGACAAUGAAUUGGUCACACACGUCUGGGAAAUGAUGAGAGUAUGACAAUGAAUUGGUCACACACGUCUGUAAAAUGAUGAGAGUAUGACAAUGAAUUGGUCACACACGUCUGGGAAAUGAUGAGUAUGACAAUGAAUUGGUACACACGUCUGUGAAAUGAUGAGAAUAUGACAAUGAAUUGAUCACACACGUCUGUGAAAUGAUGAGAGUAUGACAAUGAAUUGGUCAUACACGUCUGUGAAAUGAGGAGAGUAUGACAAUGAAUUGGUCACACACGUCUGGGAAAUGAUGAGAGUAUGACAAUGAAUUGGUCACACACAUCUGCGAAAAUGAUGCACAGGUGCAUUCAUUUGAUUCAUUUGAGAAUUUUGACCAUCACUGAUUCAGUCACAAGUUCCGGUGACAACAAUAACCUUCUAAUAUAAGCUUUAGAACCAUACAUGUUUAAUGGUCAAUCAUCAUGAAAUUGAUUGUUAAGUAUUUAUUUAUUUAUACCAGAUUGUGUAUAUUAUUGUGUUGCAUGCUAUUAAAGUCACAUCAUUGUCACCUUGGGUCACAUCAUUGUUCACCUUGGGUCACAUCAUUGUCACCUUGGGGUUCAUGAUAAAAAUCAAAUAGUGAUUUCCUUGGGGUAGUUUCAUGGGUUGGAGACACUGAAUAUAUUGUACCUUGAGUAUACAAACAGUGUGUAAUGUGUCUUAUGAAGCCAAUCUGUGCUUUAUAUUUUUCUUGCAUGCUUGUUAAUGUUAAUAUUUUAGUGUUCAACCAUUUAUAGAAAUAACCUGUAAAAGCUCAUAUGUUUAACCAUGAAUCAAAUAAAAUCAACUUCACA